rnacentral:rRNA from 1 species
AUUGAACGCUGGCGGCAUGCCUUACACAUGCAAGUCGAACGGCAGCACAGGAGCAAUCCUGGUGGCGAGUGGCGAACGGGUGAGUAAAGUAUCGGAACGUGCCCAGUCGUGGGGGAUAACGUAGCGAAAGUUACGCUAAUACCGCAUACGAGCUAUGGAUGAAAGCGGGGGAUCGCAAGACCUCGCGCGAUUGGAGCGGCCGAUAUCAGAUUAGGUAGUUGGUGGGGUAAAGGCUCACCAAGCCGACGAUCUGUAGCUGGUCUGAGAGGACGACCAGCCACACUGGGACUGAGACACGACCCAGACUCCUACGGGAGGCAGCAGAGGGGAAUUUUGGACAAUGGGCGCAAGCCUGAUCCAGCCAUGCCGCGUGCAGGAUGAAGGCCUUCGGGUUGUAAACUGCUUUUGUACGGAACGAAAAGGUUUGACUUAAUACGUUGGACUCAUGACGGUACCGUAAGAAUAAGCACCGGCUAACUACGUGCCAGCCGCCGCGGUAA